rnacentral:lncRNA from 10 species
GUCUGUCACCACGUGAGAUGUGCUUUUCACCUUCCACCAUGAUUGUGGGGCCUCCCCAGCCACAUUGAAAUGCAUUUAUGAAGUAGGGACCUGGAAUUGAAGAGACUCCUAAAGGAGAGACAGAAGUUUGAAAGAGCAAGAAGAGUGGAUGUGGAUCCAGACAGAAAAAGAGAACAGCAAAUAUUUGAAAGAGCUUAAGACGUACUCCUCAAGGUUGAAGAACUCACUUUGGCAUUUCUUGUAAGAUGGUUCUGGUGGUACCACAGAUAGAAGCCUUGAGAAGCUUACUUUGGUCAGAAAUUUUGCCUUUGUCUGCAGGCUUCUACCAGUUCGAUUCCAUCUGUGGGUCUUAGGUUUCAGUUACCUGAAGUCAAAUGUGGUCCAAUACACAGACUGGAAUAAGAGACAUUGGAGACUCCAAAAGAAUAUUUUCUGGUAGACUGAUAUAUUUCUCCUAAAAAAUUUG